AACGAACGCUGGCGGCAGGCCUAACACAUGCAAGUCGAGCGAGAAACCACCUUCGGGUGGUGGACAGCGGCGGACGGGUGAGUAAUGCGUGGGAAUAUGCCCUUUGGUGCGGAAUAGCCCUUGGAAACGAGGAGUAAUACCGCAUGUGCCCUACGGGGGAAAGAUUUAUCACUGAAAGAUCGGCCCGCGCUGGAUUAGCUAGUUGGUAAGGUAAAGGCUUACCAAGACUACGAUCUAUAGCUGGUUUGAGAGGAUGAUCAGCCACACUGGAACUGAGACACGGUCCAGACUCCUACGGGAGGCAGCAGUGAGGAAUAUUGCGCAAUGGAGGAAACUCUGACGCAGCCAUGCCGCGUGACUGAAGAAGGCCUUAGGGUUGUAAAAGUCUUUCAAGUAUGAGGAUAAUGACGUUAAUACUAGAAGAAGCUCCGGCUAACUUCG
rnacentral:rRNA from 1 species